UGCUGAAUGGGGAUUUUGGUCGGAUGUUGAGUUUACCUGGAAUGCCCCGGUGCUAUUUUGGGAAGACAGACAUCCUAUGGAAACAAUGAAGUGGAAAAGAAAACAACUAAAGCAAAAUCCAGAGCCCAGUUUCUGCUAACCCAGCUCCACACAGCCUGGGCAGGCCGUGGAAGCCCGUCAGGCGUGCAAAGGGCUGAGACUGUGUGUGUCCGGUUUACCAGCAGAGAAUGUGAGAUGUAGAAAAAGGAUCCCUUUGACAUUUCCAACAAGUCAGUGACGAAAUGGAAAGAUCCUGGGAACAGUCUGCAGCUAUGAGGAAGGAACUGUGCUCUGUGAUCAUGCCGGACAGAAGGAGGACAGAGUCAAAUGGGCUAACAUGUGUCUGUGCUCCUCUUGAGAGGCAAACCACAGGCCCAAAUCACAGCACUAACAAGUGGCAAAGCAAAGGAAGGAAUGCAGGUGCAGCUGGUUCCAGCGCUCAGGGCUCCCUCCUUCCCUGGAUGCGGAGAAUAUUCUAGCCUUCCUCGCCAAAACAGGCAGAGCAGAGCCAAGAGAUUUUGCAAAGACUGAGUCAUGAAGAAGGAGCCAGGCCUCCCCUGGAUGAGCCUUGGAAAGCCCAACCACAGGGUCACAAAAAACAGUGAGGAAACAGAGGCACAGAGAGGUUAAGCAGUCUGCCUGAGGUCACCAAGUGAGAGAACUGAGAACUGUGAACCCACAGCUUUUGGAGUCUUAUACCUCUAGGCGGGAGAAUUUUCAGUCUGGGACAUGACUGAGGGAGUGGAAAUAAAGCGGAGGUUAGCAGUGUCCUUAUUCCCACGAGGACAGGCCAGGAGCUCUGGCCCUGCCACAUUCAGGCCCCUGGGACCCACAGCACUGCAGCAGAACCAGAGAAGGUGAGACACUCUGACCACAUCCCACAAGGAUUAAAUCUGAAUCUCCAGGUGCAGCCCAGGAAUCAGCUUGUUAGAGCCUCUCUGGUGAUUCCAAUGCACAGUCAAGGUUGAGAAGCAACCUCCCCGCUGUAUAGAUGGGGACACUGAGCCCAGGGAGGGGAAGUAGAUUUCCCCAGGCUGUGCAACCCAUACCACCACUAAGGACUCCAUCCAGGGUCUUCUAAUUCUCCAUCAGCCAG
rnacentral:lncRNA from 1 species